rnacentral:rRNA from 1 species
CCUACGGGAGGCAGCAGUGAGGAAUAUUGGUCAAUGGCCGGAAGGCUGAACCAGCCAAGCCGCGUGAAGGACGAAGGUUCCAAGCAUUGUAAACUUCUUUUGUCAAGGGACAAAAUCAGGCUCGAGAGCCUGACCGAGGGUACUUGAAGAAAAAGACUCGGCUAACUCCGUGCCAGCAGCCGCGGUAAUACGGAGGAUGCGAGCGUUAUCCGGAUUUAUUGGGUUUAAAGGGUUGGUAGUGGGGCUGUUAAGUCAGCGGUAAAAGCCCGGGGCUCAACCCCGGCGAGCCGUUGAGAAUGGCUGUCUUGAGAUGUGGAGAGGUAUGCGGAAUGCGCAGUGUAGCGGUGAAAUGCUGAGAUAUGGCGCAGAACUCCGAUUGCGAAGGCAGCAUACCGGCGGCGAUCUGACGCUGAGGCACGAAAGCGUGGAUAUCGAACAGGAUUAGAUACCCUGGUAGUC